UCCUCGAUGGCUCAGUGGGAUAGAGCGCCUGCCAUAUAAGCAGGACAUCCCGGUUUCGAGUCCCGGUCGGGGCA